CUAAAACCUACCUUGCCCACUGAGCAUGCCCAGCUCCACUUGUUGGAGCUUCAACAGGGUAGGGAAGGAGAUGGGAAGUCAGCCACAGAUAUUUGCCAGGAGCAGAAUGUCUUGAUCUCUCUAACUUGGGUGAUCUGGAGAAGUAAAUUGUGUUAAGAAACAGCCUUUGUCACAUCCUCACAGACCUAAGGAACUAAGAAGCAUGAAGACGCCAAGUAACGAACUACUGAGAAUAUGGAACAAUGUGCCUCGUUCCUUAAGCUUUCUUCAGCAUAAUUUUGAGUGAUCUGGGAAUAAAAUUUGCCCAGAGGAAUAAGCACCAUGUUAUAAGACACCUCCACUCAUUUUCUGGUGGAUGCAAAGAGGAAAAAUGAAAUAUAAAUUGUCUGUUAAUGCUUCCCUAGUUACCCUUUCUAUUUAUAUAUCCAUUUCUAACUCUUUUUCUAGACAUUAAUGCUUUUGUGGGAGGCUACAGUAAGGAGAAACUUAAACAGUUAGCUGGAGAUGUAAUCAAUAGCUGUUAAAUGAAAAAAAUUAGUUUUGGUUUUAAGGGGUCUUUUCUAUUUCUGCUGACUGACCUUUAAAAUUUAUGCAGCAGUUGAAAAUAAAAGCAAUUGGGGAAAUCCUGGCAUUUGCAUUUAACAUCAGUCACUGAAGUUUCAAGAGAUAAACAAUUGGUAGAAAUGCAUUCUAUUAUACAUAAUAUUCCUUCCUAUAUUCCCUCAGAGUCAUUUUCAGUCAGACCAGAAUAUUCGAUUGUAUACUGAUAUGUUUCACCAAAGAGAUAAGUCAUUAUUUAAGUAGGUCUAGUAAGAAAUGGGAUAAAUCUAAAUGGAAGGAGAUAUGCAGGGAAAGGUGACCUUUACUGGUCCAACAAUUUUCUCUGCUUUAAGGGUGCUUAGAGCAACCCUGCCAAGUUUGUUAGGCUUUAACAAUUCACUAUACCACUAAAGCAAUUCCUUUUCAUAGACUCUAUCUUAAAUAUAACAACAUUUGUUUUGCUUAACCAAUGUUUGCUGCAAUUCCAAAUACUUUGAAUAAAGUUUAACAUUGCAGCUCAUUCUUCAAGGGCAUGAGUAAAAGGAUUAAAAUAGAAGUGAUACUGUUUGAGAAGGAUGCUCCUGAGUUGGAGAGGUCCAGAGAGCAACAUGAAUGAUGAAGUCCAUACCAUAUGAUGAGCAUUGAAGCGAAGGAGGGAUUUUUUUUUUAGCUUGGAGAAGAGUAGGCCCAAGGGAUAUAAUUGUUUUCAAGUGCUUAAAGGCUGUUCUGUAUAAAAGGGAUUAGGCUUGGUUCUAUUUGGCCCUAAGUGCAUAUUUAGGAAGA